AUAUUGUAGAAUUUUAAAACGCAAAAAAUUAUUUAUUUUAAAAUAUAGAAAGUAAUAAAAAUUGAAGACAGAUUCAUUAUAUUUCUCAGUCAUAAUACUUAACUAGUGUAGUAAUUCGUGCGAUGCGACGGAUAGAUAAUUAGAAAAGAAUAGAAAACGUCUACAAAGGAAGAAGAAACAUCGACGAAAGAAGCGAUGAUAAAAAGUGGGAUUUAUCUUGAUGAUGAAGGAAGGUAACAGUCGGAGAAAGUGAAAGAGGAACACUUCGGCCUAAUACAAAGGUGUAACCCGGUUCGGUUCAGUUCAAGAAAAAAAGAGAAAGAUAUAUAAUAGACUUGAAUAGGUUCAUUGGUGCCUACACUCAAUAAUGAUUAGUUCGCUUCAAACAAAGAAAGAAAAAAAAUUCAAUUCAGUUCACGUAAAGAAAGAGAAAAAUAUGUGGAGAACUUAAGCCGGUUUAGAGUGAAACUAGCUCACACCCAACAAUAAAGAGAGCAUUGCCAUGUGGCAAAAUUUAGGGAGAAUAAUAUA
rnacentral:lncRNA from 1 species